rnacentral:rRNA from 1 species
GCGAUACCCGAAUGGGGAAACCCAGUGUGACUCGUCACACUAUCAUUAACUGAAUCCAUAGGUUAAUGAGGCGAACCGGGGGAACUGAAACAUCUAAGUACCCCGAGGAAAAGAAAUCAACCGAGAUUCCCCCAGUAGCGGCGAGCGAACGGGGAGGAGCCCAGAGCCUGAAUCAGCAUGUGUGUUAGUGGAAGCGUCUGGAAAGGCGCGCGAUACAGGGUGACAGCCCCGUACACAAAAGCGCAUGUGCUGUGAGCUCGAUGAGUAGGGCGGGACACGUGGUAUCCUGUCUGAAUAUGGGGGGACCAUCCUCCAAGGCUAAAUACUCCUGACUGACCGAUAGUGAACCAGUACCGUGAGGGAAAGGCGAAAAGAACCCCGGCGAGGGGAGUGAAAAAGAACCUGAAACCGUGUACGUACAAGCAGUGGGAGCACCCUUUGGGUGUGACUGCGUACCUUUUGUAUAAUGGGUCAGCGACUUAUAUUCUGUAGCAAGGUUAACCGAAUAGGGGAGCCGGAGGGAAACCGAGUCUUAAUUGGGCGUUAAGUUGCAGGGUAUAGACCCGAAACCCGGUGAUCUAGCCAUGGGCAGGUUGAAGGUUGGGUAACACUAACUGGAGGACCGAACCGACUAAUGUUGAAAAAUUAGCGGAUGACCUGUGGCUGGGGGUGAAAGGCCAAUCAAACCGGGAGAUAGCUGGUUCUCCCCGAAAGCUAUUUAGGUAGCGCCUCGUGAAUUCAUCUCCGGGGGUAGAGCACUGUUUCGGCUAGGGGGCCAUCCCGGCUUACCAACCCGAUGCAAACUGCGAAUACCGGAGAAUGUUAUCACGGGAGACACACGGCGGGUGCUAACGUCCGUCGUGAAGAGGGAAACAACCCAGACCGCCAGCUAAGGUCCCAAAGUCAUGGUUAAGUGGGAAACGAUGUGGGAAGGCCCAGACAGCCAGGAUGUUGGCUUAGAAGCAGCCAUCAUUUAAAGAAAGCGUAAUAGCUCACUGGUCGAGUCGGCCUGCGCGGAAGAUGUAACGGGGCUAAACCAUGCACCGAAGCUGCGGCAGCGACACUGUGUGUUGUUGGGUAGGGGAGCGUUCUGUAAGCCUGUGAAGGUGUGUCGUGAGGCAUGCUGGAGGUAUCAGAAGUGCGAAUGCUGACAUAAGUAACGAUAAAGCGGGUGAAAAGCCCGCUCGCCGGAAGACCAAGGGUUCCUGUCCAACGUUAAUCGGGGCAGGGUGAGUCGACCCCUAAGGCGAGGCCGAAAGGCGUAGUCGAUGGGAAACGGGUUAAUAUUCCCGUACUUGGUGUUACUGCGAAGGGGGGACGGAGAAGGCUAUGUUGGCCGGGCGACGGUUGUCCCGGUUUAAGCGUGUAGGUGUGUGUUCCAGGUAAAUCCGGUUCACUUUAACACUGAGGCGUGACGACGAGGCACUACGGUGCUGAAGCAACAAAUGCCCUGCUUCCAGGAAAAGCCUCUAAGCAUCAGGUAACAUCAAAUCGUACCCCAAACCGACACAGGUGGUCAGGUAGAGAAUACCAAGGCGCUUGAGAGAACUCGGGUGAAGGAACUAGGCAAAAUGGUGCCGUAACUUCGGGAGAAGGCACGCUGACACGUAGGUGAAGUGAUUUACUCAUGGAGCUGAAGUCAGUCGAAGAUACCAGCUGGCUGCAACUGUUUAUUAAAAACACAGCACUGUGCAAACACGAAAGUGGACGUAUACGGUGUGACGCCUGCCCGGUGCCGGAAGGUUAAUUGAUGGGGUCAGCGCAAGCGAAGCUCCUGAUCGAAGCCCCGGUAAACGGCGGCCGUAACUAUAACGGUCCUAAGGUAGCGAAAUUCCUUGUCGGGUAAGUUCCGACCUGCACGAAUGGCGUAAUGAUGGCCAGGCUGUCUCCACCCGAGACUCAGUGAAAUUGAACUCGCUGUGAAGAUGCAGUGUACCCGCGGCAAGACGGAAAGACCCCGUGAACCUUUACUAUAGCUUGACACUGAACAUUGAGCCUUGAUGUGUAGGAUAGGUGGGAGGCUUUGAAGUGUGGACGCCAGUCUGCAUGGAGCCGACCUUGAAAUACCACCCUUUAAUGUUUGAUGUUCUAACGUGGACCCGUUACCCGGGUUGCGGACAGUGUCUGGUGGGUAGUUUGACUGGGGCGGUCUCCUCCUAAAGAGUAACGGAGGAGCACGAAGGUUGGCUAAUCCUGGUCGGACAUCAGGAGGUUAGUGCAAUGGCAUAAGCCAGCUUGACUGCGAGCGUGACGGCGCGAGCAGGUGCGAAAGCAGGUCAUAGUGAUCCGGUGGUUCUGAAUGGAAGGGCCAUCGCUCAACGGAUAAAAGGUACUCCGGGGAUAACAGGCUGAUACCGCCCAAGAGUUCAUAUCGACGGCGGUGUUUGGCACCUCGAUGUCGGCUCAUCACAUCCUGGGGCUGAAGUAGGUCCCAAGGGUAUGGCUGUUCGCCAUUUAAAGUGGUACGCGAGCUGGGUUUAGAACGUCGUGAGACAGUUCGGUCCCUAUCUGCCGUGGGCGCUGGAGAACUGAGGGGGGCUGCUCCUAGUACGAGAGGACCGGAGUGGACGCAUCACUGGUGUUCGGGUUGUCAUGCCAAUGGCACUGCCCGGUAGCUAAAUGCGGAAGAGAUAAGUGCUGAAAGCAUCUAAGCACGAAACUUGCCCCGAG